rnacentral:rRNA from 1 species
CACCGCCCGUCACACCAUGGGAGUGGAUUGCACCAGAAGUAGGUACGCUAACCCGCAAGGGAGGCAGCCUCCUAAGGUGUGGUUCAUGACUGGGGUG